rnacentral:tRNA from 1 species
GGGGCUGUAGCUCAACGGUUAGAGCAGGGGACUCAUAAUCCCUUGGUUCCCGGUUCAAAUCCGGGCGGCCCUA